GGGACACGGAACCACGGGCAUGGAUGCUGAGGUGGCUCCCCACCGGGGAACGAACUACACUGAAAACAGCAACACCAGGAAGUUCAUGUGGAGUCCCUGAUUCACAGCUAUUGUGAGUCCCUGCAGCGUCUUCGAUCUGGCUGAAAGACAGCUUACAUGCUGGGCUGACCAUUCUGCUACAAGAUGAUUGGAAACAUAGGACAAACUUAUCUUUGUUUGUCUUCUAUAAAAACCUCUUAAGUGCCUGCUCCUCUGACAGAAUAAGGCCUCGUGGGGAGAUCUUCGAGUUGCUCUCCUAAUCUGCAAAAUAAAUAACCAAACAAAUGAGCAAUGCUGGUUGGGUAUGCAGUUUUCAGUUCCGUUAAGGAGGUGUUAUAAGGUUUCAUUUGUUUGGGAAAUUGCCCAGACAUUUUGGUUCCCAAAGGAAUGUGCAAGCUCGUUUCCCAUAGACCACUGAGCAGCUGUCAGAAGGUAAUAGAUGUCUGGUUACUGCCAAAUUGGGGACUGGAUUUGAAUCCGUGACCAAGAGGUGAGAACGUUCCGCAUUGUGUAACCCAACAACCCCCUCUACUGCCCAUAGUCCUUUAGUCACCUAUGAAAAGUAUCCCCUUUCUUGAAACAAAUGCUUCCAUCUAUGAAAUGAAGAGGUACCAGUUAUUUUAACAAACAU